GACGAACGCUGGCGGCGUGCUUAACACAUGCAAGUCGAACGGAAAGGCCCUGCUUUUGUGGGGUGCUCGAGUGGCGAACGGGUGAGUAACACGUGAGUAAACUGCCCUUGACUUUGGGAUAACUUCAGGAAAAUGGGGCUAAUACCGGAUAGGAGCUCCUGCUGCAUGGGGGGGGUUGGAAAGUUUCGGCGGUUGGGGAUGGACUCGCGGCUUAUCAGCUUGUUGGUGGGGUAGUGGCUUACCAAGGCUUUGACGGGUAGCCGGCCUGAGAGGGUGACCGGCCACAUUGGGACUGAGAUACGGCCCAGACUACUACGGGAGGCAGCAGUGGAGAAUAUUGCACAAUGGGCGGAAGACUGAUGCAGCAACGCCGCGUGCGGGAUGACGGCCUUCGGGUUGUAAACCGCUUUCGCCUGUGACGAAGCGUGAGUGACGGUAAUGGGUAGAGAAGCACCGGCUAACUACGU
rnacentral:rRNA from 1 species